rnacentral:rRNA from 1 species
UACAGAGGGUGCAAGCGUUGUUCGGAAUUAUUGGGCGUAAAGCGUACGUAGGCGGCUUUGUAAGUUAGAGGUGAAAGCCCGGGGCUCAACUCCGGAAUUGCCUUUAAGACUGCAUCGCUUGAAUCAUGGAGAGGUGAGUGGAAUUCCGAGUGUAGAGGUGAAAUUCGUAGAUAUUCGGAAGAACACCAGUGGCGAAGGCGACUCACUGGACAUGUAUUGACGCUGAGGUACGAAAGCGUGGGGAGCAAACAGG